rnacentral:tRNA from 1 species
ACCCAGGUGGCUCAGAUGGUAAAGAAUCUGCCUGCAAUGCAGAAGAUGCAGCUUCGAUCCCUGGGUC